rfam:Granulicatella adiacens ATCC 49175 genomic scaffold SCAFFOLD2, whole genome shotgun sequence.
UAACAUUUUCGGGGCAAGGUGAAAUUCCUGACCGGUGGUAUAGUCCACGAGCCGCUUGGCAUGAUCUGGUGUGAUUCCAGAACCGAUAGUAUAGUCUAGAUGUGAGAAAAUGGCA